GGAUGUGAGGGCGAUCUGGCUGCGACGUCUGUCAUCCCAUUGAUCGCCAGGGUUGAUUCGGCCGAUCUGGCUGGCUAGGCGGGUGUCCCCUUCCUCCCUCACCGCUCCAUGUGCGUCCCUCCCGAAGCUGCGCGCUCGGUCAAAGAGGACGACCUUCCCCGAUAGAGGAGGACCGUUCUUCGGUCAAGGGUAUACGAGUAGCUGCGCUCCCCUGCUAGAACCUCCAAACAAGCUCUCAAGGAAUCCAGUUGGCAGAAGAAAACUCUGGCUUAUGUUAGAGAUUAUCUCAGAAACUCAUUAGGCCCUUC
rnacentral:snRNA from 1 species